AAGUGGACUGGCUAACUGACUGACCCAUAGUUUCUUCCUCUUUAACCCUUGACCUUUGCCACCAAACCCUAACACAAACACACACAUCUAUCUGUCUGUCUAUGUAUAUAUACAUACACACACACAUAUACACACACACACACAUAUACACACACACACACACACACAUAAGACAGCAAGCUGGCAGAAACGUUAGCACGCCAGGCGAAAUGCUUAGCAGUAUUUCAUCUGCUACGUUCUGAGUUCAAAUUCCGCCGAGGUCGACUUUGCCUUUCAUCCUUUCGGGGUCGAUUAAAUAAGUACCAGUUACGCACUGGGGUCGGUAUAAUCGACUUAAUUUGUUUGUCUGUCCUUGUUUGUCCCCUCUGCGUGUAGCCCCUUGUGGGUAGUAAAGAAAUAACACAUAUGCAUGUUUCCACACAUACAUAUAUAUGCAUAUACACACACACACACACACACACGUGUACAUAUCUAUGCAUAUAUGUAUACACACAAACAUGCAUAUAUAUAUGUGUGUGUGUGUGUGUAUACAUAUAUUUGUUCACACUUACAUACAUAGAGGGAGAGAGAGUCACUAAGAAUCCGUGAGUCAGUAAAAAGCAGCAUCUCCUACAAGAGCCAUCAAAUGUGGACUUGGACAGGGUCCUCCGAUCCCUUAUCUGGAUGCAGAAACUAGGGAUUGACGAAUGGUUAAUAAGGGCUGUACAGGCCCAGUACAAGGAUGCCGUUAGUAAGGUUAGGGUUGGCAAUGAAUAUAGUGAAGAAUUCCCGGUAGAAGUACAGGUCCACCAAGGAUCAGCCCUCAGCCCCUUCUUAUUCAUCAUAGUCUUCCAGGCAAUAACAGAGGAAUUCAAGACCUGGCUCUCAUAGCAGAAUCACUACCAGAACUAGAGAAGAAAUUUCAGGUGUGGAAGCCAGGGUUAGAAUCGAAGGGCCUUAGAGUCAAUGUUGCAAAAACCAAAGUUCUAGUAAGUAGGAAGGCAAACACAUCACAAACCCCUUCAGGCCCUGCUCAAUCUGUAGAAAAGGUGUAGGUAGAAACGCCAUAAGAUGUACCCAGUAAGCUAUGGACGCAUAAGAGGUGCAGCAACAUCAAAGGAAGGUUAACCAGGAAGAUAGCUUUCGUGUGCGGCAGAUGCACAGGGGCAAUAAACACUACAGAUGCUCAUAAAACAGAUUCCAUCACAUGUCAGGGGGGAGAAACUAGUAGUAGUUGACAGCUUCCGCUACCUAGGGGACCAAAUCUGUAGUGGGGGUGGAUGCUCAGAGUGCGUUACCACUAGAAUAAGAAUAGCCUGGGCAAUGUUCAGAAAGCUCCUACCUCAAUCACGUGUUCUUGUGAAUUCUGUGCUGGAGAUGGCAGAGUUUUAUCUCCCUGCUAGCAAUAUAAACAAGAGUGAAUUUUGCACCAAAAACACCAAUAUAAGCGUUUCUCUUGUGGUAUCUACUGCAGUAGAGAUAAAUAUUACUUCUCAAUUAUAAAAUUCAUUAGAAGUCUUUGCAAAAAGGGAAGUUUAGCUUUACAUUUCAAUGCCAAAUUUUAAUUAUUUACCAAAGAUAGACACAAAAAAAAAAAUAAGAAUACAGAAUUUCUGUAUUCAAAUGUUUCCUUUUCAAUGCAUAUCUUUUCAAUAACAUACAGUAAUAUAUCGAUUUUCAUAAUGUCGGAAUCGGCCCACAAACUGUACUUUAACUGCUCUCAGGAUCCAGAAACAAAUCUGCCUGUUUAAAAUGGCUUGUUUCGAGUUCUUGAUUUUAUUGAAAUCAUUUUUGUUUCAAGCCUAUUUUGAACUUGAGAUAAAAGAGGAGACAUGAAUGUCUCUCCCCCUCUCCCCCAUAUAUAUAUAUAUAUAUAGUUUUAGGGAAAAGAACCAAGGUUCAUGAACUCAUCGAUGAAAAUCCACUGUCACAUAUAGAAAAAUUGAUAAUUAAAAGCACAAUAAAUAAGUAUAAUAUAAUACAAAGUAAAUAUCAUAAGAUCAAGAUAAUAAAAUGACUAUAUGUGUUUAUAUAUAUUUUAUAUAUAUUUUAUACUGUGAAACUUAUUUUAAUUUUUAAUAAAUUGAUUUUAAUUGAGUUUUUACCUGUAAUUUUGGAUUUUUAUCCCUGAUAUUAUUAUUAUUAUUAUUAUUAUUAUUAUUAUUAUUAUUAUUAUUAUAUAUAUGUGUGUGUGUGUGUGUGUGUGUAAUGUAUGUACACAUAUAGUCUUUAUUUUUUUUCACUUGUCAGUCAUUAGGCUGUAGUCAUUCUGGGACACUGCCUUGAAUUUUUAGUCAAAGCGACCCCAGGACUUGUCUUUUUAAGGCCUGUUACUUAUUCUGUCAGUCUCUUUUGUCAAACCACUAAGUUACGAGGACAUACACACACCAACACCAGUUAAGUGGUGAUGGACUAACACAAACAAAAACACACACACACACACAUAUACACACACGUGCAUGCAUUUAUAAAAUCCUGCUCUGUUUCCUCACCACUGCUCUCAUACUUGAACCCUUCAAUCCCCUAACAUGAAGUGGACCCCACCUUUCCUUGGGUUGAUGGUGUUGCAAGCUUUAUAGCAAUCUCAGUUGUGAUGAGGUUCACUUGCUAACCAGGUUUCUUUUAAUGAUGUGCAGAACAAGAGAUCCGUUGCUUGGAAAACAGGUAAGCGUUUGUGACAGGAAGAGUAUGAGACUGUCAAACAUCUCAACAUGCAAGAUCGGAAUAUAUCUUUUUGUUUCCUUCUCUCUCUUUUUCUUGUGUUAUAUAUGUCAAACUUACCUUAUGCAUACAUACACCAAUAUAUAUUCAGUAAAAUUAUAAUACAAAAACAUCUGUUAUUUGAAAAUAUAUUUUUAUAUUUUUAUGUUCAAAUAUAUAUAUGUACGUAUAAAUAAGAUUAAUUUGCAAAGGUAUCAUUUUGUUUUAUUUUUUCGUGAAUUAUUUUUCUCGCAUAUUGUUUGCUAUUUGUAUCGAGAUUAUUUCCACAUUGGUGGCUGCCAUGAUUUCGGCGCAAAACGAAUCAGUUGCAGCACAGACUUCAAAACGAUAGGUAGGGAGUCUCUAAUCAUGGUAACACAUGCUGAGGAAGCUAAGGCUAAUUUUGCCAGUGCAGAAACCGGUCCACGUGAGUCGAAAUACUUAAAUGCAUGAUAGUAGAUUGUCUUAACCUGAUUUGCCUUCGCUUGAUUUCUAUAAUUAUCAUCAGUGUAUUUUGGUGAUUUAAUAAGAGUUUUGACUGUUAUUUCAAGCAGGUAGACAUACUUACUAUGUCUUUUGAAUAAUUUUAAUUUUAUAUGUAUAAAUAGAUAGAAUAAAACUAUUUUCCCUUAAGAAAA